AUCUUUUUGUGGUUCAUUAGUAUGAUGAUUGGUUUUCAUGCUACUAUGUGAGAUGUGCCUCCUUAAAAUCUUACUAUGACACUGGCCUGUUACCCAUCUUACC